rnacentral:lncRNA from 10 species
AGGGGAUGAAAAGGAAGGGGUGCCGCAGCUUGCACAGAAGGUAUGGGAAUGGCAUUACUGCUUUAUUCUUUGCCUUGGUCUACACAGGAAUAAAGCAAAGAAGAAACUGGUGCCUAAGGUCACACUGAUAAUAGAUGAAGUGAUGGAGCAAGGAUUCAACCGCCAGCAGUUCGGUUCCUCAGCCUCUGCGAAACUACUUAUUUGAAGCUUUAUUCCAACUGACUCCUAAAAGGCCUUACCAGAUCCUGCACGUUAUAGGAAGGAGGGAGUGUUUGACAGCAGCCCCCGAUCUCAUAUGCUACUCAUGACCAUCUGUUACACCUUAGAGGGAAUCUAAAUCAUCUAAUCACUAAAUGAUGCGCCCACUGCUUCAUCUCUACUUAUACAGUGAAAGAUCAUCGCUUUCAUCAAAGGUAUUUUGAGCAUCAAAUUGGAAAUCCUGGGAAACUCCUGGGCGUGGAGG